AACGAACGCUGGCGGCAGGCUUAACACAUGCAAGUCGAACGCAUCCUUCGGGGUGAGUGGCAGACGGGUGAGUAACGCGUGGGAACGUGCCCUUCAGUUCGGGAUAACCCAGGGAAACUUGGGCUAAUACCGGAUACGUGCGAGAGCAGAAAGAUUUAUCGCUGAAGGAUCGGCCCGCGUCUGAUUAGCUAGUUGGUGGGGUAAUGGCCCACCAAGGCGACGAUCAGUAGCUGGUCUGAGAGGAUGAUCAGCCACAUUGGGACUGAGACACGGCCCAAACUCCUACGGGAGGCAGCAGUGGGGAAUAAUGGACAAUGGGCGCAAGCCUGAUCCAGCCAUGCCGCGUGAGUGAUGAAGGCCUUAGGGUUGUAAAGCUCUUUCGUCCGGGACGAUAAUGACGGUACCGGAAGAAGAGGCCCCGGCUAACUUCGUGCCAGCCGCCGCGGUAA
rnacentral:rRNA from 1 species